rnacentral:lncRNA from 1 species
AUAAUUAUUUUAUUUUUAUAUUUUUUUAAGGAAAAUUUUUAAAUACCAUUCACGUGAUUUCACACUUUCUUAUUUUAGUACCCUGUAGUUUAAAGUGUAUUACUUUCGUACACUGUAAUUUUAUUUUUCUUUUUUUGUUAUUCCCUUCACUAAUUUUUUUCGUUAAAUCAGUGACAAAGUUAAAACUAAAUGCUACUAAAGUAAAUAUUCGAUAAACUAUACGUAGGGUAUAUAAAGUUUUUUGCAUAUAAUUUAAUAAAAAGUUAACGGAGGAAUUGACGAAAAGAAAAAAAAUGAAACCGUAAGAUACUAAAUUAAUAUAUUUUAAAUUAUAGAGUACUAAAGUGAGAAAGUACGAAACCACAGGUAUUUAAAAUUUACCCUUUUUUUUUAAGUUAUGAAGA